UACGUAGGAUGCGAGCGUUGUCCGGAUUUAUUGGGCGUAAAGAGCUCGUAGGCGGUUCGUCGCGUCGGCUGUGAAAUCCCGAGGCUCAACCUCGGGUCUGCAGUCGAUACGGGCGGACUGGAGUUCGGCAGGGGAGACUGGAAUUCCUGGUGUAGCGGUGAAAUGCGCAGAUAUCAGGAGGAACACCGGUGGCGAAGGCGGGUCUCUGGGCCGAUACUGACGCUGAGGAGCGAAAGCUAGGGGAGCAAACGGG
rnacentral:rRNA from 1 species